GAGUUUGAUUCCUGGCUCAGAUUGAACGCUGGCGGCAUGCUUUACACAUGCAAGUCGAACGGCAGCACGAAAGAGCUUGCUCUUUUGGUGGCGAGUGGCGAACGGGUGAGUAAUGCAUCGGAACGUACCGAGUAAUGGGGGAUAACUAUCCGAAAGGAUAGCUAAUACCGCAUACGCUUUGAGAAGGAAAGUGGGGGCUCUUCGGACCUCACGUUAUUCGAGCGGCCGAUGUCUGAUUAGCUAGUUGGUGGGGUAAAGGCCUACCAAGGCGACGAUCAGUAGCGGGUCUGAGAGGAUGAUCCGCCACACUGGGACUGAGACACGGCCCAGACUCCUACGGGAGGCAGCAGUGGGGAAUUUUGGACAAUGGGCGCAAGCCUGAUCCAGCCAUGCCGCGUGUCUGAAGAAGGCCUUCGGGUUGUAAAGGACUUUUGUUAGGGAAGAAAAGGAUAGUGUUAAUACCAUUAUCUGCUGACGGUACCUAAAGAAUAAGCACCGGCUAACUACGUGCCAGCAGCCGCGGUAAUACGUAGGGUGCGAGCGUUAAUCGGAAUUACUGGGCGUAAAGCGAGCGCAGACGGUUUAUUAAGCAAGAUGUGAAAUCCCCGAGCUUAACUUGGGAACUGCGUUUUGAACUGGUAAGCUAGAGUAUGUCAGAGGGGGGUAGAAUUCCACGUGUAGCAGUGAAAUGCGUAGAGAUGUGGAGGAAUACCGAUGGCGAAGGCAGCCCCCUGGGAUAAUACUGACGUUCAUGCUCGAAAGCGUGGGUAGCAAACAGGAUUAGAUACCCUGGUAGUCCACGCCCUAAACGAUGUCAAUUAGCUGUUGGGCAACAUGAUUGCUUAGUAGCGUAGCUAACGCGUGAAAUUGACCGCCUGGGGAGUACGGUCGCAAGAUUAAAACUCAAAGGAAUUGACGAGGGCCCGCACAAGCGGUGGAGCAUGUGGUUUAAUUCGAUGAUACGCGAGGAACCUUACCAAGGUUUAAAUGGAGACUGACAGGGGCAGAGAUGCCUUUUUCUUCGGACAGUUUUCAAGGUGCUGCAUGGUUGUCGUCAGCUCGUGCCGUGAGGUGUCAGGUUAAGUCCUAUAACGAGCGCAACCCCUAUUGUUAGUUACCAGCAAGUAAAGUUGGGGACUCUAGCAAGACUGCCGGUGUAAACCGUGAGGAAGGUGGGGAUGACGUCAAAUCAUCACGGCCCUUACAUCUUGGGCUACACACGUGCUACAAUGGUCGUUACAGAGAGCUAGCCUACUGCGCGAGCUGGAGCGAAUCUAUAAAGACGGUCACGGUUCGGA
rnacentral:rRNA from 1 species